AUCUACCCCUCCAGGGCGUUCUCCACCAAGCACUUGGACCUAACGCAUCCCAAACUAGAUCCUCUUCCUUCCCAAUCGUGCGUCUCCUCCCGUGGGUCCUGCUGUGAAUGGUGCCCAAGCCAGAAAAGGGGGUCACCUCUGAGUCUGCCUCUCUCUCAUCCCCGACAUCCAGUCAGACCUUCGGGCCUGGCGUGUCUUCCCCCAUUUCCCGCAUCCUCUGUCUCCACUGUUGCAGUAGCUUCCCUUCCUGCCUGUAGCUGCGCCACCCCGGAGCCAUUUCAACUCACAGGCUGUCUCAACUGUGGAUCAGAGCAUGUCAGGAUAGACCACAAGCGGCUCGUCCUGACUGGCCGGCCCACGGGUCCACGGUGCCCCCCAGCAUUUCCCGAGAGCAUUUCCCCUGUAGAAGCCUGUUUGCAAGUCGCUGAGCACACUGGUCCUGCCCGUCAUUACUCCUCUUUGCUCUCGCCCUCAUCUUUCCUGUUUCCUCCAGACCUCCUCUGUUGUGGCUGGAGAAGUUCCCCUAUUCUUUGUGACUCUGCUCACUCACCACCUCGAGAGCUGUCCCUGGCACUCCCCUUUCUGUGCCCCUCCUUUGUGCCUCUAAAGCAUCGUGUUGUAACAGCCUGUGCGGAUCCUAACUGCCCCCUCUCCACCGGCCCGCAGCGAGCAGGAGCCCUGAGGGGAUGCGCUACGCCCCUUACUGGCCUCGGUGACCCUGAACCCAGCAUGGUGCUGGCAGAGGGAAGGUCACCAGCAAAUGCUUGUUCCCUGCUCUCAGUUGCCCUGAACAAAACCCUUGGAGUCAUCGUCACCUUCCUUUUCUGUCACAGCCUGUAUCAGUCUCUCAGAAAAUCCUGUUGCCCCUACCUUCAAAACAUAUCCAGAAUCCAGCCGUCUCUCACCACCUCAGCUCUCGCUUGGGUUUUUCCAGUCACCUACCUGGACUCUUUCCAUCCAUGGGCCCCUUCAUUUUAUUCUCAAUCUAGCAAAAACAAUGAUCCUUCUAAAAUGUGA
rnacentral:lncRNA from 1 species